CAAAACUUUCAACAACGGAUCUCUUGGCUCUGGCAUCGAUGAAGAACGCAGCGAAAUGCGAUACGUAAUGCGAAUUGCAGAAUUCAGCGAGUCAUCGAAUCUUUGAACGCACAUUGCGCCCGCCAGCAUUCUGGCGGGCAUGCCUGUCCGAGCGUCAUUU
rnacentral:rRNA from 1 species